GACGAACGCUGGCGGCGUGCUUAACACAUGCAAGUCGAACGGAAAGGCCCUGCUUUUGUGGGGUGCUCGAGUGGCGAACGGGUGAGUAACACGUGAGUAACCUGCCCUUGACUUUGGGAUAACUUCAGGAAACUGGGGCUAAUACCGGAUAGGAGCUCCUGCUGCAUGGCGGGGGUUGGAAAGUUUCGGCGGUUGGGGAUGGACUCGCGGCUUAUCAGCUUGUUGGUGGGGUAGUGGCUGACCAAGGCUUUGACGGGUAGCCGGCCUGAGAGGGUGACCGGCCACAUUGGGACUGAGAUACGGCCCAGACUCCUACGGGAGGCAGCAGUGGGGAAUAUUGCACAAUGGGCGGAAGCCUGAUGCAGCAACGCCGCGUGCGGGAUGACGGCCUUCGGGUUGUAAACCGCUUUCGCCUGUGACGAAGCGUGAGUGACGGUAAUGGGUAAAGAAGCACCGGCUAACUACGUG
rnacentral:rRNA from 1 species